CACAAACUUGUUCAGUACUUAUUUAAAAAUAACCUUAACAAAUGGGAAAAUUUAUAAUUCCUGUGCUGUUUGCCACAAUCACAAUUUGUGCUGUUAACUCCUAUUUUUUGGACGAUAAGGGUGUUGGCGUUUGUGAGACGGUAAAAUGUUCGCUUGAAGAAAGGUGCACUUAUAAUCCAACAUUGAAAAGGGAAAGAUGUGUGGCCAAAAAUAAUGCACCGCCUUUAACUGUGGAGGAAAUCGAUAAGUUGAUUGUAUAAAUAAAACUAAUAUAAUUACUAAAAUAAUUACAAUUAUAGAAAAAACAAAUAAACUAAU